AAGCCCGUCGAGCGGAAACGACANCAUUGAAUCUUCGGAGGAUNNGUUGGGCGUCGAGCGGCGGACGGGUGAGUAAUGCCUAGGAAAUUGCCUUGAUGUGGGGGAUAACCAUUGGAAACGAUGGCUAAUACCGCAUAAUGCCUACGGGCCAAAGAGGGGGAUCUUCGGACCUCUCGCGUCAAGAUAUGCCUAGGUGGGAUUAGCUAGUUGGUGAGGUAAUGGCUCACCAAGGCGACGAUCCCUAGCUGGUCUGAGAGGAUGAUCAGCCACACUGGAACUGAGACACGGUCCAGACUCCUACGGGAGGCAGCAGUGGGGAAUAUUGCACAAUGGGCGAAAGCCUGAUGCAGCCAUGCCGCGUGUAUGAAGAAGGCCUUCGGGUUGUAAAGUACUUUCAGUUGUGAGGAAGGGGGUAACGUUAAUAGCGNUAUCUCUUGACGUUAGCAACAGAAGAAGCACCGGCUAACUCCGUGCCAGCAGCCGCGGUAAUACGGAGGGUGCGAGCUGUUAAUUGGAAUUACUGGGCGCAAAGCCGCAUGCCGGUGGUUCAUUAAGUCAGAUUGUGAAAAGCCCGGGGCUCAACCUCGGAACUGCAUUUGAAACUGGUGAACUAGAGUGCUGUAGAGGGGGGUAGAAUUUCAGGUGUAGCGGUGAAAUGCGUAGAGAUCUGAAGGAAUACCAGUGGCGAAGGCGGCCCCCUGGACAGACACUGACACUCAGAUGCGAAAGCGUGGGGAGCAAACAGGAUUAGAUACCCUGGUAGUCCACGCCGUAAACGAUGUCUACUUGGAGGUUGUGGCCUUGAGCCGUGGCUUUCGGAGCUAACGCGUUAAGUAGACCGCCUGGGGAGUACGGUCGCAAGAUUAAAACUCAAAUGAAUUGACGGGGGCCCGCACAAGCGGUGGAGCAUGUGGUUUAAUUCGAUGCAACGCGAAGAACCUUACCUACUCUUGACAUCCAGAGAAGCCAGCGGAGACGCAGGUGUGCCUUCGGGAACUCUGAGACAGGUGCUGCAUGGCUGUCGUCAGCUCGUGUUGUGAAAUGUUGGGUUAAGUCCCGCAACGAGCGCAACCCUUAUCCUUGUUUGCCAGCGAGUAAUGUCGGGAACUCCAGGGAGACUGCCGGUGAUAAACCGGGAGGAAGGUGGGGACGACGUCAAGUCUUCAUGGCCCUUACGAGUAAGGGCUACACACGUGCCUACAAUGGCGCAUUACAGAAGGGCAGCAAGCUAGCCGAU
rnacentral:rRNA from 1 species